rnacentral:siRNA from 1 species
UUUUUUUUUCAGUUGUAUUUGUG